GGGAAUUAGGUUAGGGGUUGAUUGUGAAGAUCUUGAGGGAGAUGGUGAUGAGGGUAGAGCAGAGAGUUUAUGGUGAGGAUGGUGAUGAUUCGGGCUUGAUUCAGGUGAAGAGUUUGAAGAGGAGUGAUUGGGGUGGUUUAGGGUUGAUGGGUGCACAGGUUUUGGAGCUCAGGGAUAUGGUGGUGAGGAGAGAAGAAAGGC